GUGCUCACUUCUGCAGCACAUAUAGUAUAAUUGAAAUAAUACAGAGAAGAUCAUCAUGGCCCUUGUACAACAAAUAUAUUAAUAAAUUAAUUAUUAAGUAUAUUCUG